AUGGCCGCCUCCGCCUCCGCCCCCGCGCUGCUCCUCCUCCUCCUCGCGGCGGCCGCGGCGGCGGCGACGACCACGACGGCGCUCANNNNNNNNNNNNNNNNNNNNGUGGUCUUCAAGACGGGCGUGGCCGACCCGCUGGGCCGCCUCGCCAAGUGGACCGAGGACGACGACCGCCCCUGCACCUGGCCGGGCGUGGGCUGCGAUGCGCGCGCGGGCCGCGUCACCUCGCUCUCCCUCCCCGCCGCCUCGCUCUCGGGCCGCCUCCCCCGCGCGCUCCUCCGCCUCGACGCGCUCCUUUCCCUCUCCCUCCCCCGCAACAACCUCUCGGGCCCCGUGCUCCCCGGCCUCCUCGCCUCCCUCCCCCGCCUCCGCUCCCUCGACCUCGCCUCCAACCGCCUCGCCGCCACCGUCCCCGCCGACCUCUUCGCCCAAUGCCGCGACAUCCGCACCAUCUCCCUCGCCCACAACGAGCUCUCCGGCUACAUCCCGCCCGCGGCGCUUCUUAAAUCGCUGGAUCUCGGGCGUAACUUCUUCACCGGCGGCUUGCCGGAUUCUCUCCGGAGGCUGACCGCGCUGCGGUUCCUUGGCGCCGGCAGCAAUGCGCUCGCUGGCGAGGUGCCGGCGUGGAUCGGGGAGAUGUGGUCGCUGGAGCGGCUUGACCUGUCGGGCAAUCGCUUCGCCGGCGUCAUCCCCGACGACAUCGCGAAAUGUAAGAACCUGCUGGAGGCCGAUCUCAGCCGGAACGCGCUGACCGGCGAGCUCCCAUGGUGGGUGUUCGGCCUGCCACUGCAGCGCGUCUCGGUCGCCGGCAACAAGCUCGACGGGUGGGUCAAGGUCCCCGGAGAUGCCGCGUUGGCGUUGCAUGUGCUGGACCUGUCGAGCAACGCGUUCUCCGGCGGGAUCCCGCCGCAGAUUACUGCCUUCGCGGGGUUGCAGUUUCUGAACCUGUCCUCGAAUUCCAUAUCGGGGCAGCUGCCUGCUGGCAUUGGUGGGAUGAGGCUGCUGGAGGUGCUCGACGUGAGCGCUAACACGCUGACCGGAAGCGUGCCACCGGAGAUUGGCGGCGCCGUGGCGCUCCGGGUGCUGAGGAUGGGGGACAAUUCGCUCACCGGCCGCAUACCGGCACAGAUUGGGAGCUGCAAUUCCCUCGUUGCACUGGAUUUGUCGCACAACGACAUCACGGGACCGAUUCCAAGCACCCUGGGGAACCUCACCAGUCUUCAGGCUGUUGAUCUCUCCCAGAACAGGCUGAAUGGGACCCUGCCGGUGGAGCUUUCUAAUCUGCCCAGCUUGCACAUCUUUGACGUCUCCCACAACUUGCUAUCAGGAAAUCUCCCCAACAGCCGUUUCUUCGACAAUAUCCCCAACUAUUUCCUAUCAGACAAUUCCGGCCUAUGCAGCUCCAGGAAGAACAAUUCCUGCGGUGUGGUCAUGCCGAAGCCGAUUGUACUCAACCCCAAUUCCUCAUCAAACCCCUUGUCGCAAUCCACACCAAGCUCCCCUAGCAGCAAGCACCACAAGAAAAUCAUACUGAGCGUCUCCACCCUCAUUGCCAUUGCGGGCGGUGCUGCCAUUGCCUUCGGAGUGAUCACUGUGACUGUGCUCAACCGUCGUGUCCGUGCAGCCGCCUCCCACCCAAAGCCUGCUAUUGCACUAUCUGAUGAUUACCUUAGCCAAUCCCCGGAGAAUGAUGCUAGCUCUGGGAAGCUUGUCAUGUUUGGUAAAGGCAGCCCAGAGUUCAGCACUGGUGGGCAUGCCUUGUUGAACAAGGACUGUGAGCUUGGGCGAGGAGGCUUUGGUGCCGUCUACAAGACGGUGCUCAGAGACGGACAGCCGGUGGCCAUCAAGAAGCUCACCGUGUCUAGCUUGGUGAAGUCUAAGGAUGACUUUGAGCGACAAGUGAAGGUGCUUAGCAAGAUGCGGCACCACAACAUUGUCACACUGAGAGGCUUUUACUGGACUUCGUCGCUGCAGCUGCUCAUCUAUGAUUACCUCCCAGGAGGAAAUCUGCACAAGCACCUCCAUGAGUGCACGGACGAGAACACUCUUUCCUGGAUGGAGAGGUUUGACAUUAUCAUCGGUGUUGCCAGGGGACUGAUGCACCUCCACCAGCAUGGGGUUGUCCAUUACAACCUCAAGUCAAGCAAUGUGCUGCUGGACAGCAAUGGCGAGCCCAGGGUCGGUGACUAUGGUCUUGCAAGCCUGCUCCCGAUGCUGGACCGGUAUGUGCUGAGCAGUAAGAUCCAGAGUGCACUCGGGUACAUGGCGCCAGAAUUCGCAUGCAAGACGGUGAAGAUCACCGAGAAGUGCGACGUCUACGGCUUCGGUGUGCUUGCACUGGAGAUCUUGACGGGCAGGAGGCCCGUUGAGUACUUGGAAGAUGACGUGGUCGUGCUAUGUGAUCUGGUGCGAAGCGCGCUGGAGGAAGGCAGGCUGGAGGACUGCAUGGAUCCGAGACUGUGCGGCGAGUUCCCGAUGGAGGAGGCCAUUCCGAUCAUCAAGCUGGGCCUCGUUUGCACCUCGCAGGUGCCGUCGAACCGGCCGGACAUGGGCGAGGUGUUGAGUAUACUCGAGGUGGUGAGGAGUCCGCAGGACAGUCCAGGGGAUGAGAUGGUCUGA
rnacentral:rRNA from 1 species